GGACGAACGCUGGCGGCGUGGAUUAGGCAUGCAAGUCGAACGGUAUGGACCUUUCGGGGUUCAGAGAGUGGCGAACGGGUGAGUAACACGUAGGUAAUCUACCCUCAAGACGGGGACAACCCAGGGAAACUUGGGCUAAUACCGGAUGUGUGUAGUGGCUAUUUUUCUGAUUAUCAUUAUUUACGUAAGUGAGUAAUAAUAAGAAGGGAAAGUGGUUAUUACAUAAAAGGUGGCGUAAGCUGCCGCUUGGGGAUGAGCCUGCGUCCUAUUAGUUAGUUGGUGAGGUAACGGCUUACCAAGGCGAUGAUAGGUAGGCGGCCUUAACGGGUGGUCGCCCACACUGGGAUUGAGAUACGGCCCAGACUCCUACGGGAGGCAGCAGUCGAGAAUAGUCUACGAUGGACGGAAGUCUGAUAGUGCGACGCCGCGUGAACGAAGAAUCCCUUCGGGGUGUAAAGUUCUUUUAUACGUGAGCAGUGUCCUUUAUAUUAAUAGUAUAAGGGGAGAGAUAUUAGCGUAUGAAUAAGCAACGGCUAACUCCGUGCCAGCAGCCGCGGUAACACGGGGGUUGCGAGCGUUGUCCGGAAUUACUAGGCGUAAAGUGCAGGUAGGCGGAUAAAUAAGUUUGAUGUUAAAGGCAGCGGCUCACCCGCUGUACGGCGUCGGAUACUGUAGAUCUGGAAUGCGGUUGGGGAAGACAGAAUUCCUGGUGUAGCGGUGGAAUGCGCAGAGAUCAGGAGGAAUACCUAAGGCGAAGGCAGUCUUCUAAGCCGUAAUUGACGCUAAACUGCGAAGGUGUGGGUAUCAAACAGGAUUAGAUAUCCUGGUAGUCCACACAGUAAACGAUAAUCACUGGGUGUCGGGUUCGUAGAGGAUUCGGUGCCGUAGCUAACGCGAUAAGUGAUUCGCCUGGGGAGUACGAUCGCAAGGUUG
rnacentral:rRNA from 1 species